rnacentral:rRNA from 1 species
AAGCGGGAAAAGCUCAAAUUUGAAAUCUGGCGGUCUCCGGCCGUCCGAGUUGUAAACUAGAGAAGUGCUAUCCGUGCUGGACCAUGUAUAAGUCUCCUGGAACGGAGCGUCACAGAGGGUGAGAAUCCCGUCUUUGACAUGGACUGCCAGUGCAUUGUGAUGCGCUUUCAAAGAGUCGAGUUGUUUGGGAAUGCAGCUCAAAAUGGGUGGUAAAUUCCAUCUAAAGCUAAAUAUUGGCGAGAGACCGAUAGCGAACAAGUACCGUGAGGGAAAGAUGAAAAGAACUUUGGAAAGAGAGUUAAACAGUACGUGAAAUUGUUGAAAGGGAAACGCUUGAAGUCAGUCGCAUUGGCUGGGAUCAACCUUGCCUUUGUGAGGUGUACUCCCUGGUCAAUGGGUCAGCAUCAGUUUUGACCGCCGGAAAAAGGUUAGGGGAAUGUGGCAUCUCUGGAUGUGUUAUAGCCCCUGAUUGUAUACGGUGGUUGGGACUGAGGAACUCAGCACGCCGCAAGGCCGGGUUUAACCACGUUCGUGCUUAGGAUGCUGGCGUAAUGGCUUUAAUCGACCCGUCUUGAAACACGGACCAAGGAGUCUAACAUGCCUGCGAGUGUUUGGGUGGUAAACCCAUGCGCGUAAUGAAAGUGAAAGUUGAGAUCUCUGUCAUGGAGAGCAUCGACGCCCGGACCAGACCUUCUGCGACGGAUCCGCGGUAGAGCAUGUAUGUUGGGACCCGAAAGAUGGUGAACUAUGCCUGAAUAGGGCGAAGCCAGAGGAAACUCUGGUGGAGGCUCGUAGCGAUUCUGACGUGCAAAUCGAUCGUCGAAUUUGGG